CUAAUAAGACAAAUUAUGGAGGCCAGAUUGUAGAUGUGGUGUGCAAGCUUAACCUGUAUUAAGAAGCCUAAAGCAUCUCAAGAGGAAUCCACUUUUUAAUGACG
rnacentral:other from 1 species